AUCGAGAUCCUAAACCUUAUUGUUGCGCUAUCGAAAAAUAACCCAGAAAAAAACAUGACGGGCAAUUUUGUUGGUUAUAUUAAUGCGCGAGCCAUGUAAUAUUGUUAACAUUUGUAGCCCUGGCGCGAAAACGUUUGUGAUUUCGUCGGUACCGACACCGACAGUUGUGUGUGCAGCGGAUAAGUGAGGUUACGAAGCAACCUGAAGUCGAGUUCAAGAGAACCCGUUGUGCUUCUGAUUGAAAUCGAGCGGUCUCAUCUUAACGAGUUUGAAGCUGUCGCCGUUCAUUCGGCUCGGGGGAGAGCCUGCGAUCCACAGGGUGGGCAAACCCGCCAUACACACAAGCGUUGCCGAGGGCCCGCCCGCGCGCCUUCACCGCAGCAGUGACGUACUUAGCGUGGCGUGGUAGCAUCAACUCUCUACUCGCACAUCGUCGGUAAACAGGUGCGUCAUCGGACUGAUCUCCACCCACCUUCUUACCAGCCGCCCAUUUCCGUGUGGUCCUUUCUCCAAGGUAUUCUGGAAGAGCCCAUGGGCCAUGGAGCCGCAGGAGCACGAGCCAUCAGCUGGGAGUGGGAUUGUACUGUUUUGAAGGUGAGCUGAGAUCUUUGUCAGUGAGGCCAUGGUGAGAUAACUUUGACAUUUUUUUUUAACGAAUGAUACAAAGAGUACGUCGUUGUGAAAC